UCCGUUCUCAAUUUUUUUAAAAAAAUUAUAGACCCCAUAUAUAUUAAACAACAACUAAUAUUAAAAAAAUAGUGCAAAUUAAUAAUGUCAAAAAAAAAAUGCACCCCGUAUUAAAAAAUCAAACAAUAUUCAUAUAAUUUCCAAAGUAUCUCAUUAAGUCAAUAAUGAUAGAUUCAUUGCCGCAUGCGUAUUUAUAGUAAAUACCGAUAUAAUAAAGUUUUAAAUACGGAGCACAAACUACAAUAUUAUAUUAAUCGUGUUUUGAACAUAGUAUCCCAUAUUGACAAAAUCAAGCAAUACAUAUAAUAAAAAAAAAGUCAAUCCCAUAUUAAAAAAAUAAAUAAUGUCAAAAAAAAAAAAAA